rnacentral:lncRNA from 1 species
AUUGACUGCUGUGUUUUUGUGAGGUAUGAUUUCAGGGAAUACCUUGUUUUGCCCAUCCAUCCAAGCUUCAAAAGACAAAUUUAACUCCCUUCUGUCCAGAUAAGUAUCAAUGAGCACAUGUAAGUGUGAUGUCUGUCGUUUCAGUGACAUCAUUCUAUGGCACCAUUAAAGCAGGCACCUGACAGCUGGCAAAAAAUACCCUAUUAAUAGGUAAAAGGGGUGAAUAGGAAAAGAAAUACGAAAAUAAAUAUGCACUUAAACUGUGCUCUCUCUCUGGAAGCUUCGAAACAUAAAAGAAAUGUUUUCCAUCAAAUUUCCUUGCUGACAUCUGAAGAAUCCCCUUUCAGCAAAAGUUGACAGUUUGAAAGGUUUCUAAUUUUUCGUUCGCUGCUUUUUCUUUUAAACUGUCCAUGAUGCAGCACCGAGUCACAGCGGCUCAGUGUUAAGGGGAUCAAAGCCUCCAUUACCUCAAGCUUAAAAAUUCUUCACACUUUCUUCCUUAUCCUCAUUCAGCUACAGGAAGGGAAAUAAUAUCUGUCUUGGAUUUUAUUCCACAUUUCAAAAUGCCAAAACCAUCCAAACAAGAGCUGCUUGUGUACGGUGCGAAGGCUUUGUUUUGACUGGCACCCGGAGCAAUUAUGACAUACUAUCAUCAAAGUGAACUCUGCAGAUUAUGGGGUAAGCAAAACAGGUUCUCAGUUUUCCAGCAUCUCCUGAUAUAAACAUCUUCAUUAUCAAGCAGGUCCUUUGUUGGAGCUUCCAUUCUGAUCUGGGAACUUCAAUUUUCAGCGCAGCCGACUCCUCAGCGGUGCAGAAGCGUCAGGAUGAAGGCUCCGUGAUCCCAGGGUCAGCAAGUCAUGCGUUCCUUUCGACGAGGAUUUGUUCUCAACAAGCAGGCUGCUCACAAAUCCCUUGUGCGAGUUUAAGGCUCUGUGUAGCCUGCAGAGGCAAAAUUAGAAUAUAAACAUCUACUCACUAGAGAAACAAGGGAGUUAUUGUCACUGUAAAGAAGGAGACAUCUAAACCAUACCCCCUCUGCAUUAAUUCCAUUCUUGUGCACAGGCGAGCUGACAGUUAUACCACCGAGUAAACCGCAGUUAUCUAGUCA